rnacentral:misc_RNA from 1 species
UAAUAUCGCCUUCUUUAACCUUUAUGAUUAAAGUUGGGCGGAUCUGGCUGUUCCAGCUAUGCAGUAUGUUUGCCUUUACCAGUAAACGUACAUCACGCACCUGGAUCAGCUGAAGACCAGAGGCUAACCAAGGACCCGUCAAGGGCCGCAACUGGGUGGGCUGUCAAAAGCUAUAUUCUUAGUUGUUGGUCUGGGACUUUGUGUUCGGCCCUCAAACAGGAACCUAUUAACCUAUUU